UAAAAAUCUGAUUGUCAAUCUAUAUAAAUUAUUCUAAUAAUAACCUGUAAAUUUUUUCUUCACUUUAUUUUUAGGAUGAAUACAGAAUCAGAAAAUACACAAAUAUUUUGUAUUACCAGUCAAAAUAUGUAAAAAAUACACAAAGUUUUAGAUUUGACAAUGUUUUACAUGUACACACUUCACAAAAUACAGCAUAACAAAAAGCUUUUGUCCAAACUUUCUUUUAUCCCAGACAACUCAAAUAGCAAUAAGACAUUCCUUUCCUAAUACAAAGAAUAACAGUGGUGUUCACAAAAUAUAGUAAAUCCACCAGAAAAAGUAAUGGAAAUAGUUGUGUUGUUAACAUAUCAUGAGGCUAAUAAUUUUUUUGCUGAAUUUAACUUCAAUAUUUCUUGUUUGUUUUCAUUAACCAACACUAGAAAAUGUAUGUCAAAUGAAAAACAACUUAUAGCUUGAAAGGGAAAUGAUUCCUCCUGUAUAAUUGCCCACCAAGUGUCUUCUCAGUAUUCUCUUGCUCUCUCUCAUUCCCUCUUUAAAAAAAAAAUAAAAAAAUUUGAAGGAAUAAAUCAAAGUUAAAAGUUUUGGAGAUGUAUAAUAUCUUAGGAUCACAUGUGAAGUUUGGAUUUAUCCUAGGCUUGAGAAAGCUAUAUAACUAUGUCUUUCUGACAGCACAAAUAAAUAGCCUAUAUCCCAGAUAUAGGGUUUUACAUGCCUGAUAUCAUUGAAAUCUAUAAAUUACUUAGAGAUUGUAAAACCCUCCUUCAUGAUUCUGUCUUCCUUAUAAGAUGAGGGUUAUAUCUGAGGGCCACUGUACUCAUGAAAUAAGACAUUUGUGAAAAUUUCAAGCAACAAUGAAUACACAUUUUCAGGGAUCUGAAGGCUCAAAAAAGAUUAUAUAAAAUAUGACAAAUAUUUUUGAGCAUUUCCAAAUAUUCCAACAGUUGUUCAUUGUUUUCUAAGAUACAAAAUUUUUCUGAAGGAAACAUGAUAUUCUCAUAGCUGGGCUUUAUUUAAAUGUGAUGUCACCCUAAGAUCUUUUUGAGUAUAUGUUCUGUUUAAGAGUAUUUUACAAUAUCAAAUGUUGAGAUGUUGAUUAAAUUAAGAAUUUGCCCACCUCUGCAUUUUCUAAAAUGAGUUAAAUUGUAAUACAUUCUUGUCCAAUAUAUACAUAAAAUGCUGAAUAAUCAUCUGUGUAAAAGGUUUGUUCAUUUUUAAUCACAUUCUGAAAAAAAUUGAACAAAAUCACAUCAACAACAAUGCUGGCAAAUUUCUAAAAGAAAAAGCUAAGCACCAUUUUUUAAAGUCGUCUUCUAUUAUGUAAUCUGCGUAAUAUUGCCUUGCACCAGGUGGUCAUACACAAGUUUUAAUAUGAUAUCCUGAAGAAAUGCUAUAUUUUUCCCACAAACUUGGUGAAAGAAGUAGACUGGACAUAUCCUUUGCAUGUGCUAGUUGGUAAAAUGCUACUGACUCAAGAAGCAUUUGCUGUGCCAUGAAAAACAAGGGUGUAUUAUUCUGUCUCCCUGCUGCAGUGAAGGAAGAAAGAGAAGAGCUGAACCUCUGAAGGAGAAGUGGGGUGCAGCUUAAUUUUCCAUUUUCCAGAUUUUUUUAUUAGAAUUUAAAGAUUGUUUCCUUGGGCUCCUUAUGUAGUCAGUGGAGGAAUACACAGUCCUUCAGGGGGUUGUUCGGUGCAUCCUAGUUCAGAACUAAAUCAUCUCACUAAGCCAGAUGCUGUGAGCAUCCUGCUGAAUAGCAAUCCUCCUGCCAGUGGUGAAGCAGCGAUGUAUUUUGCUGAUCUUUGUCCAGACCCAAUUGUGUGCUUACAACAGCCAUGUCUAGGUAUUGUUCCAGUCCUCUUUUCUCAAGAAAACUAUCAUAUGUCAUUGUCUAACUUAAAAAAAAAAAAAGAGAAGUCAUUUCAAGGACUGAUCUGUUGGCCUACUCCCAUCUUUCAAAGUUCCCUUCACUUUUGUGUUCUGUCUCCUGAUUCCUUCAUAACUCAGCUUCUCAUUUCUAGUUAAUGUUUUGUUCCCCACCCCUUUGACCAAAUCAGUUCUUAGUUUACAGGUGCAAACCAUUUUGUCUCAUGGGGGAGAAAAGGAAAUAAGGAGCUUGCACUUGUGUUUUUUUCCCUUUUCUUUAAACUUUUAAAAAAGCAAUAGUCAAAACCCUACUGAGUUCAGCUUCCCCUAGGCCUACUUUAAGGAAUCUAUAACAAUGCCUGUAACUAUUUUUUGUGUUGUAACUUAUGGUACACAAGAUUUGUGUACCAUGUGGUACAUGGUAUAAUCAAACCCAGCGACAGUCAUCCUGUUAAGAUGGGAAGCAAAUAAAUUCACAGUGAAUUUCCAAAUAAAAACUUUGAAUGAUAGGAAGUGGCAGUGCCAGUAUUUAAGGCAUUCUGUUAACUCUCAUAUUCUGUCAUAUAAAUAAUGGUGCACAUCAGGUCUUACCUCACAAUUUUCACAAAUGAAAGUUGUCUGUACAUAUCAAUACAAGUUUUGGAUAUGUGAAGGAUUUACUUUCUCAGGUAAAUGGAGUAUGCACUGCUUUUUCUCCUAUUUCCUGAGGAUUUCAAGGUUAUAGGAACAUACUCAUUUUAGGUUUCCAUUGAGACAAAACAGAUGACUGAUAAGCUGCGGUUUUCAAAAUGAAGUACUUUUUAAAGUAUAAUUUUUAAAGCUCUGUGGCUGGAUUGAAUGUUAUUCUUAAAUUGGUUCUUAAUUUGGUACACAGUUCCUGGGGGGUGGGGGUCAUUAUAGAAAAAAUGUCUUCUGUAUUUUUUAAGGCAUAAACUAUUACAAACAUCUUUAACUUUGUUCGUGAAGUCCAAAAUAUACUGUGAAGUCAAAGCUACUGAAAGAAAUUCAGAAUAAUUAAACUAGUGUAUAAAUUCUCCUGCACUCAGUAAAAUGCAAAUGUAAAAUAAUGAAUUAUCAGAAAUUUCUCUUUCUGUUGAGAAAAUUCUUAUAUAGGAGAUAUUUGCUACAACAACAAAAAAGAAGAGUCUGUGAUCAAACCAGCUUGAAAUUUAGUUCCAUUAUUUCGUUUCACAGGUCAUACUGAUGGGCUGAGGCCAAUUGUAUGAGCUUCAGUAAGACCAAGUGCUGGAUAACAACUUUGAUCAUGACAACCCCAUGCAGUGCUACAGACUUAGAUACCAGUGUCUGGAAAGUUUAAUGGAGAAAAAUGGAUCUUGGGGUAUUAGUCAACAGCCAGUUGAAUGUGAGCCAAGAGCAUGCCCAGGUGGCCAAGAAGGCCAAUGGCAUCCUGGGUUGUAUCAGAAAUAAUGUAGCCAGCAGGAGCAGGGGAGAUGAUUGUCCCCCUGUACUCAACACCAGUGAGGCUGCACCUUAAGCACUAUGUUCAGUUUCAGGCCCCUCACUGUAAGAAAGACUCUGAGGCUCUGGAACGUAUCCAGAGAAUGGCAACAAAGCUGUGAGGGAUCUGGAGCACAAGUCCAGGAAGAACAGCUGAGGGAACUGGGAUUGUUUAGUUUGGAGGAGACUUGGGGAGACCGUAUUGCUUUCUAAAACUGCCUGAAAGGUAGCUGUAGUGAGAUGAGAGUCUACUACUUCUCCCUGGCAACUAGUAUUCUGGCUAGAGAGAAUGGCCUCAGCUUGUACCAGGAGAGGUUUAGGUUAGAUAUCUGGAAAAAAUUCUUCUCAGAAAGAGUGGUAAUGUAUUGGAACAGGCUGCCAAGGGAAAUGGUGGAGUAACCAUCCAUGGAGGUGUUCAAGAAAAACGUAGAUGAUACUCACGGAUGUGGUUUAGUAAGCAUGGUGGUGAUAGUUUGAUGGUUGGACUAGAUGAUCUUAGUGGUGUUUUCCAACCUUAAAGAUUCUAUGAUUAUUCAUCCUUACUCCAGUGAAGUCAAUUUGGGCUUUACCCUUGAGUUUGGAGAAAGUUAAGAUACAUAUAAAAUUAACUUUAUAACUUCAUAUUGGAGUUGGCAUUGUAGCAUGUUUUCUCUCUGUCUAUAGACAAAGCCAACACUGAUGCCAGGAAGCACUGGCUGUCUUAAUUCCAAAUCUGUUUUUGUCUCUGCAAAUGUGAAGCAUCGUUUUUGCUUACUCUGUUACUUUCCUCAGAAGUGAAGUAGAAAGCAGCUCUUACAUUAAAAAUAAUGCUUUUCUACACUUUGAAUUACUUCUUUUAUAAAUACUCCAAGCAGUCUCAGUACUGCAAGAGAGAACACUCAAAAAGAUACAGAAUACAAAACCUGAACAGAGCUUGAACACAGUGUGUAUUAUGACAAGGCCCUGUACUCUUAAAAUUUGUAUUUUAACAAUGAGUAGUAGGUAUUUGAUCCCAUCUGCUCAUUCAAAGAAUGUAUUGCAGAACUACACAGACAAAACAAAAGCUUUGCAUGUUUUUGCCUUUUACAUAUAUGUUUUUAAAGAAAGCAAACCUUUCUGUAUGUGGUGUACUCUGGGCCUGCUUGGGGCUGGGGCUGCACUGGUCCCCCUGGCACUGAACUUUCACUUAAGAAAUUCAGAUAGUUCUACAAAUGCUCCUGAUGGGACAGGUGCUGUCUACAGGCUGUGCCUUCUCCAUGGGGAACCCCUGCUGCUACCAGCACUCAGGCAGCAGCCACCCACAGGGUGCCUACACAAAACUUUCUUUACUAAUUUAUUGCUACCAGUUAAAAUCCAUCUUUAAGAAAAUAAGGGGAAAACAAACGAACAACAACAACAAAAAACAACAGAACCCAGUUUAUGUUGGAAUGGUAAUUUACUUGCAUGUUGGGGAAAAUAUUUAUUAAUUGGUAACAAAAUAAAUAUAAGAUUAAUGAAAAUCAGUUUGCUUUUAUUUUCUAUCAACAGCUUUUCACAGAAGAUGAGUAGCAACCAUUAAGGGGAAAAAAACAGAGAUCAUAAAGAAUCAUAAGAUCUUAAACCAUGAUGUAGGCAGGAUUUAGGCUCUUGCAUUCAAUAAUGUUUGUGGGUAUUGCUGUAUACAAACACACAUGCAAAAAAAAGAGGAUGCUUCUUCCAGCAUUUGCAGUAAUGAUGUAGAUUUUGAGCAUUUUGAACAUGUCCAGCUCUAAAGUAAUUACGCAAUUCACCUUUCACUUUGGAAAUUCGGAUAGUUUUACAAAACUGUCUUAUCAACAGCUGAAGAUAUCUGGAAAUCACUGUGAGGCCAGAUAACUGGUUUAGGUGAUAACGUUUGUCUCUCAAGAUAUUUUUUUUAAUCAAACUACAGUAAGUGUGUGAAAGAAAUCAAUAACUUUACUUUGGAAAAGGAAUAUCCGUAGUAUGUAUUUUUAUGCUAGGACAUUGCACACAUUGCUGGACUGGCAGAACAUUGCAGAACUCUACCAUCUAUGAAUUAUAAAAAAAAAAAAAAGGAAAAGCGGUAAGAAAGACAGGAGAAAAAAUAAAGGAAUUUUUAAUAGCUGAAACCUCUGAUGCAGGUAAGAUAUAUUACCAAAACUAGCUGUUCAUAACUAAAUGAGCUAAAUUCUUUGUUCUUACAGUUCUUUUUUCUGAACUUCUAAUCAACUUGCAUAAUUCAUGUAUCUGUAGUACCUCUAUGACCUGAUAGUUCUAAUACACUUGCCCCCUGCUCUUUCAUGAAGUUUUCAAAGCUUAAAUACGCUAGAGGAAAAAUAUUCUGAGGGGAGAUUAUUUAAUAAAAUUUCUCCAUCAUGCAGAAGCUUUAAGGUCUAAUUCUAAGCAUCAAGUCUCCAAAAAAAGAUACAGUAAUUCUUUUCUCCAAUUUUGAGAUAUAUCAUGCUAUGAAUAUAAACUCAGAAAAAGAGUUUUAGAAGAAUACUGCAAAAGCUUACCAAACUGAUAUAUAGGGAAACAAGAAUCUUGUAAACGAGUCUCAUCAAGAUGCCUCUUACCUGAGCUCCCAUCUGUAUUUUUCAGCUAGAGGAUAAAAAGUACUUCUAAGAGUCUUUACAGUACCUGAGUCUUUGAGUUUUGUAGAGGCCCACCUGUCCUCUAGUAUAGACUGCAAAGAUUAUGAAAGCUAUCUGUAGACUAUUUUUGUUUCAGUUUGUUGUUAAUUUGUGUUCUCCUGAGAGUUUUUGCUAUAUUCCGGAGGGAUACUUUUAUAAUUUUUAGUGGGUGCAGGAGAGGACCAGCUUUUGAAAAAGAAAAAACAAUUCAUCUUAGAGGACUACACUGUCCUUGUGAAAAAGUAAUUUCCAUUGAAAGUUAUCAAAAUAAAUGGUUACAAGAAUAUAUUGCUGCAAAGAAGAAAGUGGGAAAAAGUUGGCUAAAAGGAGAUUAAAAAAUAAAAAUGAAAAUUACUGUCAUCAAAAAGAUAAUGAAAUUUAAAAGAAAUGAUUAAAAAAAGUCAUUUCAUCUUUUCACAGAAUACUUUAUAAAAAAGGCAGUGUAACUCAAACCACUAAAAACAAAGAAAAAUUUUGUAUAGGAACUUCUACUAAUUAGAUAUUGUUAAAGGCUAAAUCAACAUUUCAGCUUUAUGGUCUAACAAAUUAGAACAAAUCAAAAAACAAAGCAGCUCUCUUUACAUUACUUGAAUUUAUCAGCAAUAUGGGAUGCAGCAGGAUAGCAAUAAUUUGUGCUGUUUUUCAAGUAAGAUUCCUGAAGCAGUACAAGAAUGAACAUGGAGGUACAUAUUACCAAGGAAUUUCUAAUCCAUGAUGUAUAUGCCAUAAAAGUGUUUUUAUGCAUUUGGGAGAUAAUAGGCUUGCAGAUAAUAGCCUUGGUAUCCUGGAAUCCAUACAGAAUGAUUUGAAUUUGACACACACAUGGGCAGCCACAUCCCCAGCAGCCUUUGCCAGACUGAAGUCUGAAGUCCAGAAGCAGUUCUUGAGUUCACAUCAGUGACUUCCUAAACAUCAAGGAAAGUAUUUGUCUGAUUAAGCAUACAUUAAAAACAUUUGCUAUAGUAAGAGUGAUAGAGUUUCUUGGUCUCUAUCAGCAAUUUAAAGUUCUAGAAAAGGUGGAAAGCCAUAAAAGAUGCCUGCUAGUUAUUUUAUCAUUGGUCUCAAAUCCUAAUUUGGUGGUCUCAAAUAGACUGUUUUCUCAUUUUUAAUUCUCUAUCACAGUAUAUUAAAAAAAAAAAAAAGACUUUGAAGGAAAAUUCUUUAUGUUCUGGAAGAUGUAUAAAAGUUAAAAGUGAUAUAUUUUAAAAGUAAUUUUCCUUCUUUCAGUUUGUUCUUGUAGAAGUUUUAUAGGAAAAGUUUAUAAGAAUAAAAGCCCAUAUCAUUUGGGAUUGUUCACUCAUACAAUUGGGACAUAUUCAGACAGUAUAUAUAACAUAUGUAUACCCAAAGGAAGAAAUAGUUAUAAAAUAGCAGGCAACAAAUUAAAGCACC
ensembl:lncRNA